CUUGUUGGCGCUACCCUUAUCAAGAGACUACGCCGUGCUACCGGGGCCUACAGUAUAUAAGACGACACAUGACAGCGGUCGGCAUGCCACAGCACCAUGAAGUACUUCAGCGUUCACUACCUCGGCCUGCUGUUCCUCGCCUUCCUGCUACUGGUAGGCGGCGCGGUCGGCUCCAACGACGACAGCAGCGAUAACAGUUCAGACUCGUCAGACUAGUAAGGUUGCAGCAGCUUUUAUGUCAACCAGUGCCAAAUGUCAUCGCUGCCAUCUCAGACCAUGAAGCCGUCAGUCUUUCAACAUUACAUCACUCAUCACAACUCAUGAGGAAAUAGCUUUUUACAUUAUUUUAUACUUGCAUCGUCCAUUAUUUCAAUAAAGACAUCUGCUAUCCAAAACUUUA